rnacentral:rRNA from 1 species
UUGCUGUGGUAUUUUGACUAUACAAAGGUAUUGAAAUAAGAUUUUAAUUGAAUGCUAAGAGAAUGGAAUUUCAGAAAAAAACUUUUUUUAAAUUAAAAAUUGAAAUUUUUUUAAUUUGUGCAGAAACAAUUAUUAACAUUAAGGACAAGAAGACCCUAUGAAUUUUUGAAAUUUUUAAUAAUAGUAAUUUAUUAUUAUUAAAAAUUUUAGCUGGGGCGGCUAAAAAAUAUAAUUAACUUUUUAAAAAUAAAACGAUCCACUAAUAAUGAUUACAUGUUAAAUACUCUAGGGAUAACAGCGUUAUAUUUUUUGAUAGACCAUAUUGACAAAAAAGUUUGCGACCUCGAUGUUGGAUUAGGAUACUUUUUUAAUGAAGAUAUUAAAAAAAGAAGUUUGUUCAACUUUUAAUUUCCUACUUGAUCU